UACGAAGGGUGCAAGCGUUAUUCGGAAUUACUGGGCGUAAAGCGCGCGUAGGCGGCUAGUUAAGUCUGUCGUGAAAGCCCCGGGCUCAACCUGGGAAUGGCGAUGGAAACUGGCUCGCUAGAGUGCGGUAGAGGAGAGUGGAAUUCCCGGUGUAGCAGUGAAAUGCGUAGAGAUCGGGAGGAACAUCAGUUGCGAAGGCGACUCUCUGGUACGGCACUGACGCUGAGACGCGAAAGCGUGGGGAGCGAACAGG
rnacentral:rRNA from 1 species